UUUAUGGAGAGUUUGAUCCUGGCUCAGGAUGAACGCUGGCGGCGUGCCUAAUACAUGCAAGUCGAGCGAACGGACGAGAAGCUUGCUUCUCUGAUGUUAGCGGCGGACGGGGGAGUAACACGUGGGUAACCUACCUAUAAGACUGGGGUAACUUCGGGAAACCGGAGCUAAUACCGGGUAAUAUUUUGAACCGCAUGGGUCAAAAGGGGAAGAAGGUCUUGCUGUCAC
rnacentral:rRNA from 1 species